rnacentral:rRNA from 1 species
UACGUAGGGUGCAAGCGUUAAUCGGAAUUACUGGGCGUAAAGCGUGCGUAGGCGGUUAUGUAAGACAGAUGUGAAAUGCCCGGGCUUAACCUGGGAACUGCAUUUGUGACUGCAUGGCUAGAGUGUGUCAGAGGGGGUAGAAUUCCACGUGUAGCAGUGAAAUGCGUAGAUAUGUGGAGGAAUACCGAUGGCGAAGGCAGCCCCCUGGGAUAACACUGACGCUCAUGCACGAAAGCGUGGGGAGCAAACAGG